AAUUUACCUCGCGUAUCUAGUAGAUUUGCAUGCUUGCAGUAGUAAACUGACGUUGCAUAACCUUUUCACUCUUUCAUUUGCAACAGAAUAUAUUUCCCUAUUUUAUGUGCAAAUAACAGCUUUUAAAAUCAAUACAAUCUACGCUUUACAGUACAUUUAUUUUUGCGAUUUAAAAUUUCAAUUACACUUUUCAUUGCGAUAACAGCUGUAUGAAUAUUGUCCAGUUUUCGUGUGUGGGCGCAAACGGUAAUUACGAAUUGUGACGUCAAAAAAUAGGUUAAGGUGCAAGGAUAAUUUGGAAAAACCCGACUGAUUUAAAAUCUGAUUAAAACUAGUUGCUAAAGGAUGUCAAUUAUCGAUUUGGUACGAUCUGCUGGGAAGAGGUGUUUUUGUAUAGUGACGUCUAGACAGGUGAGGAUGCAUUAAAUAUUAACCUGCGAACAGUGACUUCUGGUCCAUAAAUUUAUAAAUCGGGCAAACCUCCAGAAAGUUCUAAAACACAAGGCAAUGUAAAAAACCGGUAGCGACGUUGAUGGUUUCACACAAGCAGCGAUUCGGAACUCUAUUAUCCAGGGUUAAUGGUUUUACAUGCAGGACAUGAAUGUUUUAUUAUUGGAGCAUCUUUAAAUUUAGCUUCAAAAACAAAUAAUCCAGAUUACCAUGAGGAAUUCAACAAGGACUGCUGUCUGAAGUGGUUCGGGGACCAUUUGCUUCCGAGUUUAGAAGAAUCAUCGCUGAUUAUUAUGGACAAUGUUCGUUAUCACAGUAGCACAACUAUAGGCAUGACUAGGCACAAAAAUGAGUUUCUAAACGAUUCGUUAAAAGUGGAAUUGCUGGAGAUUUUUGCAAGGGUUGUUUCCUUAAAUUCCAUGCAGCAUGGUUCAUUUGUAGUAAUACUUUUAGUUUCGAGACUAUUUGUUAUUUCAGAAAUAGGAUAUUAAACAUAAAAUAAGUUGUAUUUUUUCGGACGAUUUGAAUUUGUUGUGAUAAAAAUGUAUUUUUCGUUACAAUCUGCUUUAAUAUUUCGACAUUUGUUCACUGUUAGU